rnacentral:rRNA from 1 species
UACGAAGGGUGCAAGCGUUAAUCGGAAUUACUGGGCGUAAAGCGCACGUAGGCGGUUUUUUAAGUCAGAUGUGAAAGCCCCGGGCUCAACCUGGGAAUUGCAUUUGAAACUGGGGAACUAGAGUGUGUGAGAGGGGGGUAGAAUUCCAAGUGUAGCGGUGAAAUGCGUAGAGAUUUGGAGGAAUACCAGUGGCGAAGGCGGCCCCCUGGCACAACACUGACGCUCAGGUGCGAAAGCAUGGGGAGCAAACAGG